UACGUAGGGUCCGAGCGUUGUCCGGAAUUGCUGGGCGUAAAGAGCUCGUAGGUGGUUUGUCGCGUUGUUCGUGAAAACUCACAGCUUAACUGUGGGCGUGCGGGCGAUACGGGCAGACUUGAGUACUGCAGGGGAGACUGGAAUUCCUGGUGUAGCGGUGGAAUGCGCAGAUAUCAGGAGGAACACCGGUGGCGAAGGCGGGUCUCUGGGCCGAUACUGACGCUGAGGAGCGAAAGCGUGGGGAGCGAACAGG
rnacentral:rRNA from 1 species